rnacentral:lncRNA from 1 species
UGAUAAUAUAUUCAUCAUGGAGAUAUGAAGGGUGAAAUUGAAAGAAGAAGAUACAAAAAAUGUUUGGGUUAGAAUUACAGAUGUAGAAGGAUUACACACAUUUUAGUCUCACUGCAAUAACUAUCCUGGUUCAGCUAUAACUAUUUGUACAAAGCUUUAUAUUUCAGAAGGUAGAAGACACGAAGCCUUUGCUCACACCCAACAGCAAGCUAUAAAGGGCCCCAAAUGGACUAGUGUAAACAAAUCUAACAGGAAAACCACCAGUCCAAUCUAUAUAAAAAAA